AUUGAACGCUGGCGGCAUGCCUUACACAUGCAAGUCGAACGGUAACAGGUCUUCGGAUGCUGACGAGUGGCGAACGGGUGAGUAAUGCAUCGGAACGUGCCCAGUCGUGGGGGAUAACGCAGCGAAAGCUGCGCUAAUACCGCAUACGAUCUAUGGAUGAAAGCGGGGGACCGUAAGGCCUCGCGCGAUUGGAGCUGGCGAUGUCAGAGUAGGUAGUUGGUGGGGUAAAGGCUCACCAAGCCAACGAUCUGUAGCUGGUCUGAGAGGACGACCAGCCACACUGGGACUGAGACACGGCCCAGACUCCUACGGGAGGCAGCAGUGGGGAAUUUUGGACAAUGGGCGCAAGCCUGAUCCAGCAAUGCCGCGUGCAGGAAGAAGGCCUUCGGGUUGUAAACUGCUUUUGUACGGAACGAAACGGUCCUGGUUAAUACCCGGGGCUAAUGACGGUACCGUAAGAAUAAGCACCGGCUAACUACGUGCCAGCCGCCGCCGUAAAAC
rnacentral:rRNA from 1 species